GGCACACUAUCCCACCAAUACAGAGAAGCGCGUGCCGGAGAUUCAUAUCUGAAGCCGUACCGUCGCUUGCUUGCGAACUGAGAGCCUAUGUGUUGGGUUUGGCUAUGGGUCUUGACUUUUCAGCACACUCUAGCAGUACCCACAUGGAAAGGAAUGCAGUAUGCAUGGCUAGGAUGACCGUGCGGCGCCGGGAGUAUGAGCUGAAGUGCGCACGAUGACAAGGCUGGGUGUGUCGCAGACGCCAGAUAUGCCAGCAAUUCGCGACAAGAACUGCAGAAAAUCGCAGUCAUGUUAUGUAACUAUAUCGGCAAGACAGAAAUAGAGCAAACCUAAACUAUGGAGACAUAAUCUCCGCAACUGGGCAAGAAAUGCAAAAAUAGAACGCAGUUACCAAAGGUAGCCGACGAGAAUGGGGCAUGACCUAUAAGAACAUUGAAUUAAAACAACUAACAGCAACUCGUGUAAUGUCGGAAUCAUUUCCAUCUUCGAUAGCCUCCCUGUUAACCUAUUGCCCUUGACAACCUUUUAAAAGUUCCAACGAAAAACAAAUGGUCGGGCAGAACUAUAACAUAACAUUAUGAAGACAAAAUAAAUAGUUUCAUAUC